GGAAGGAUCAUUGAAUCUAUAAAUCCACAACGGUAACUUACUGUCUCGCCGGCAGUGGGCCUUGGUUUUUUACCUUGUGCUAAGGAUCGUUACCUUAGCUGACCGCCGUCCUACUGAGUGCGGUUGCUCACUGUUGUGAUGCCAUUCAACUUUCACACCAAACCAAACUACCUAAACUAUCGAUUGCUGGCUCUGCCGGCUUUCACAAUACAGACAACUCUCAACAACGGAUAUCUUGGCUCUCGCAACGAUGAAGAACGCAGCGAAAUGCGAUACGUAGUGUGAAUUGCAGAAUUCCGUGAACCAUCGAAUCUUUGAACGCAUAUUGCGCCCGAGACUUUGUCAAGGGCAUGUCUGCCUCAGCGUCGGUUUAUACCCUUGCUUCCCCACUAUGUGGUGUGCACACCCUCACCGGUUGCCGGAAGCAGAUCUGGCUUUCCCAAUCCACUAUCAAGUGACUUGGGUUGGCUGAAGUGCAGAGGCUAGAGCUUGGACCCGAUAUGGGCUCAACUGGAUAGGUACCGGCAACAGCCGACUACACGAAGUUGAUGCCUGUGGUCUUUGCUGGCGGCCAGCAGGAAACACACCUUGGUGUGCUCUAAACAUUCGACCUGAGCUCAGGCAAGAUUACCCGCUGAACUUAAGCAUAUCAAUAAGCGGAGGAAAAGAAAGUAACAACGAUGGCCCUAGUAAUGGCGAACGAACCGGCCAAAGCCCAACUUGAAAAUCUCCCUUUGGAGAAUUGUAGUCUAUAGAAGUACCCUCUGCAGCGUGCGUAGCCCAAGUCCCCUGGAAAGGGGCGUCAGAGAGGGUGAGAACCCCGUCGGCUAUUGCUCAGCUGCUCCACGAGGUGCUUUCGCAGAGUCGGGUUGCUUGGGAAUGCAGCCCAAAUUUGGUGGUAAAUCCCACCUAAGGCUAAAUACUGGCGAGAGACCGAUAGCGAACAAGUACCGUGAGGGAAAGAUGAAAAGAACUUUGAAAAGAGAGUUAAAAAGUGCUUGAAAUUGUUGAGGGGGAAGCGAUUGGAGGCUAUGGGUGCGCUCAGGCUUAUGCAUCCCUAACGGGCUGCUGCAUGUGCUGAGUGCUGGUCAGCAAGGGUUGGGCUGGUAGGAUAAAAGUCGGGGUUGUUACUCGGCCUAUACUACCGGUCCGACCAAGGCGUGAAUACUGCCCUUGUCCUUCGGGAACUGCAGUAUCAAGUUGCUGGCGGAAGGUUUCCAAUCGACCCGUCUUGAAACACGGACCAAGGAGUCUAACAUGUAUGCGAGUUGGUGGGUGGAAAACCCAUGAAGCGCAAGGAAACUAACUGGUGGGAUGGCCUGUGCCUGCACCAUCAACCGACCAUGAUCUUCUGUGAAAGGUUUGAGUUCGAGCAUACCUGUUGGGACCCGAAAGAUGGUGAACUAUGCCUGAGCAGGGUGAAGCCAGAGGAAACUCUGGUGGAGGCUCGUAGAUGUGCUGACGUGCAAAUCGCUUUUCGGACUUGGGUAUAGGGGCGAAAGACUAAUCGAACCAUCUAGUAGCUGGUUCCCUC
rnacentral:misc_RNA from 1 species